rnacentral:ncRNA from 1 species
AAAUUUGGUUCUAGUUUCAAGUUGACUUUAUCUUUUAGAAAUACAUGAUAGGUUUUCGAAAUUGUAAAUUAUGAGGUUUUUAGCUAGGCUUUAACAGUAUUAACUACUAACUUUAUACAUAUUAAAUUAUUUAAUGAUAAAAACUCUUACAACUUCAGUAUUUAAAAUUAAAUAUUAAGGAAACUUAAAUUUAGAAAUAGAGAAUAAAGCUAGCUAAAUUUGUGCCAGCAGCUGCGGUUAAACAAAAGGCUUAAGUCAACAGCUUCGGUAAAAGGUAGUUACUUAGUAUUUUACUAUCAAAUUAAAAGAAAUAAAAAGGUAAAAUUUAAAUUUCUUAAUAAACUUUAAUUGGUACAAAAAGAGGCUACUAAAUUCUUAACUAAAACUGGGAUUAGAUACCCCACUAUUAGGAGCCAAAUUCUAAACACCUGAGUAUUACGGGCUUAAGCUUAAAACUCAAAGAACUUGGCGGUACUUUAUAUUUAACUAGGGGAACCUGUCCUAUAACCGAUACCCCGCGUUACACCUGACUUUCCUUGGUGUUCACCCUAAGCUUGUAUACUUCCGUCAUAAGUUGAUUCUUAAAGAAAUAAAAAUUAACUACUUAAUUACUUAUUAUGAUGUCAGGUCGAAGUGCAGCUAAUAGGAAAGAUGAGAUGGGUUACAAUUUAAAACCAAAUCAGAUAAAGAAAUGAAAAAUCUUUUGAAGUUGAACUUAGAAGUAAUUUUAAAUCACGAAUAUUGAAUUGAACAUAACUCUAAAGUGUGCACAUAUUGCCCGUCACUCUCCUUAUACAAAAGGAGAUAAGUCGUAACAUAGUAGAGGUAGCGGAAGCUGCCCCU